rnacentral:lncRNA from 1 species
ACUGACAAAAAAAACAUUAUUUGACAAUUGUUUCCUCUUAUGGAAAAUAAAAUGUAGUGGAGAUGAUUGUUGUUAUUUUCAACAGUAAACUGAAACACAACUGCCCACCUUCCCCAAAUUUAUUUUGCAGGGAACACUUUCGGAAUAAUGCAAUGAUUGUAGCAUAACACCAUAUACACAAUCCCUGCCCAAAACAAAGUCCUACUUCAAUAUUUGGAAUUGAUUUAAACUCUGCAUCCUUGUAUACCACACAGGAAAAUGAGUCUAAAUGAUUUCCUUUUAAUUAAAGAAAAGGUCAAGAGGAAUACUAGAUAGAUGAUAUUUGCUGACAUAAACUAUAAAGUAACAUCAAGCUAAUCACAACCUUGUGAAAUGGGAAAAAACAUUGUAUUUCUUAAAAAAAAAAUAUAAGCUAGCAAAAUCACUAACAGAAAAAGAAAAAGUCUGUUUCCUCUUUCGGAAAAAAAAAAAUGUAGUGGCGAUGAUUGUUGUUAUUUUCAACAGCAAGCUGAAACACAACUGCCCAUCUUCCCCAAAUUUGUUUUGCAGGGAACUCUUUCGGAAUAAUGCAAUGAUUGUAGCACAACACCGAUACACACAAUCCCUGCCCAAAACAAUGUCCUACUUCACUAUUUGGAAUUGAUUUAAACUCUGUAUCUUUGUAUACUACACAGGAAAAUGAGUUUAAAUGAUCUCCUUUUAAUUAAACAAGGGUUUAAGAGGAAUACUGGAUAGAAGACAUUUAGUGAAAUAAACUAUAAAAUCCAACUACGCACAACCUUGUGAAAUGGGAAAAAGCAUUGUAUUUCUUAUAAAAAAAAAAAAAAAAAAAAAAAAAAAACAAAAGCUAGUAAAAUCACCAACAGUUUAAAAAAAGGUUUGUAAUUUGUUUCCUCUUUCGGAAAGAAAAAAAUGUAGUGGUGAUGAUUAUUGUAAUUCUCAACAGCAAACUGAAACACAACUGCCCAAAUUUGUUUUACAGGGAACUCUUUCAGAAUAAUGCAAUGAUUGUAGCAC